UGACAAUCUACAUAUUUUUUUUUAUUGAAGGGCUCAAUUGUCAAAAUUUCUAGACGCUCUCAAAGCAGCUUCAAUUAUAAAAACGAAAAAAUUCUCUGUUUGGAUUUCAUUGUAAAGAAACACUUCAAUAUUAUAUUCAAAAUGGCAAAAUUUGGCCGUGAUUCCAAAGAAUUACAUAGCGGAACAUUUUACAGCAAUCGAGAUAUUUUUCUAACCCAAGUAUUUGGUUUAUUCCUACUGGUGUUCAUAAUACUAUGCCUCUUGAACGAUAUAGGAUCAUGUCGUUUCUGGAGCUGCAGAAAAUUGUAGAAAAGUGGAAAAUCACGGAUUUCAAUUGGCACAAAGUGAUAAAUUACAUAUUUUGAAAAAAUGUUUUAAAUUUAAUUUGAACUAGAAUUGUGCAAUUUGCAUAUCGAUAAACAGUAAAAUGAAUCUUUUAGUUUA